UACGUAGGGGGCAAGCGUUGUCCGGAUUUAUUGGGCGUAAAGAGCGUGUAGGCGGCUUGGCAAGUCCGCUGUGAAAACUCGAGGCUCAACCUCGAGACGUCGGUGGAAACUGCCUGGCUAGAGUCCGGAAGAGGAGAGCGGAAUUCCUGGUGUAGCGGUGAAAUGCGCAGAUAUCAGGAAGAACACCGGUGGCGAAGGCGGGUCUCUGGGCCGAUAUUGACGCUGAGGAGCGAAAGCGUGGGGAGCGAACAGG
rnacentral:rRNA from 1 species